GCCCCAUGUAAAACGUCACGAACGCACGUGUUGAGCGGGAAUUGCAAACACGGAGGAGCAAAGGGCGGCCAUUUCACUUCCACCUGCUGUCGACUGAAUUGGACAUCAACGCUGUCUGAGCUUGCGAAUGUCACGUGACCAAACCCAGGAAACAGCAUGAACGAAUGGAUCUCUCCCACUAAUUCACCUGAGAGUCGACCAAGGCGGUGAGCGGAAGGUAAUCGAAGAGG